GACCAUCUCAAUUGCAAAUUUCGGGCGAAAACCACACAAAAUGACAACGGAAAAGGGCGAGCAACUAAGGCAACAGCUUAUUGCGGCGGUGGUGAAGAAACGCGCGGCGAAUGCCCGGGCUCAUGAAAUUGUGGUGCGGCUUUUGGAGCCCGGUAUUCCGGAGCCCGAGUUCCUGUCUCUGCUUUGGGAAAUCGGACCGCCAAAUUAUUCCGAUAUCGUGGAUGAGCGAGAAAUAAACAAACUGUGUGGUUAUCCGCUGUGCUCCAAUCCCCUAGAGAACAUUCCCAAACAAAAGUACUCAAUCUCCGCCUCCAAAAACAAGGUUUACGAUUUGACCGAACGCAAGAAAUUCUGUUCCGGAUAUUGUUUUAAGGCCUCAGAAUAUAUUAAAUCCCAGGUGCCCACAUCACCAUUAUGGCUACGAGAUCGGGAGACGAGACCCAACUUCAUACUUCUGCCCCGAGAUAAAAAUCCAAUUUAAAUAAAAGUUUUUUCGUAACACUCACCACAUAAAGGCAAUAUGCAAAUAUUAAACAAAAAGAAAACACUCUGAAAAUGUUAAACAAAAAUAAAUGAAUGCAAAUUAAAAAGCACGAGGGAAAGCCAAAACAAAUAACAACAGCAACAAUGUGUUCAUAACUAUUAAAAAGCGGAUAUUUAAAAUAGGAAAAAACGAGAAAUAAAAAUAAAAACGAAAAAGAAAGGCUUUAAGUAACGCAUUAUGCUAAAUUGAAUUCAAACUCAUCUGAAUCUGAAUCUGAAUCUCUACUCUCGCAUCCAUGUUUCUGCAUUCGUAUCUGCAUCUGCACCCGAACCCGCAUCCGAAUCUGCAUCCGUAUCUUUGCAUCUGCUGAGCCGAGCGAAUGCGACGAUGCAGCAAACAUGCCAGCUAAAUUCCAAUCCAAAACCCAGAAACAAUACAUCAAUCAGUUCAGCAAGCAACCAAUCAAGCAAUUCCAUCAUCAAUUUGCAACUGCCAUCAACUCAUCAACAAUAACAACUGCAACCAGUACUGCAACAAAAGUCCCAACCUAAAUGCCAGAAAUUAAAUGCAUCCAACUAAGACAAACCAAAUAAACCUAAAAUAAUUCUAAACAAUAAAACCUAAAAAAAAAAAAACAAAAAAUAGCUUAACACCACUCGAAGGCAAAACGAGAAGAAAAAGAGUAAAAUUCAAUUUUCAUAUUAAUUAUGGAACAUUCAUCAACAAUUUUGUUGUGUUUGUUCCAUUGCAAAAACGAAAAGGUCGCCGAUUGUUUGCAGCUGCAGCAACAACGACCACUGGGAAAGUCAACAGCAACAACAGCCACAAAAGCAACAGCAACAACAACUUCGACAACAGCAACUUUGGGAGAGACAGCAACAAAAUCAAGCAGAAGACCAACAACAAUAACAUCAACGGAAGCAGCAGCAACAUCAGCAACAUCAACUAGCAACAACCAACAGCAGCAACUUCUUGGACAGCAGCAACUUCUAGCUUCAUUUCGACCAAAUUGCUGGCUAACAUCUUACAACUGAACGAAACAACGAUACUAAGCUGUACUAAAAAGUUAAGGAUCACCGACACCGGAAAAUCAAA